rnacentral:rRNA from 1 species
GAUGAACGCUGGCGGCGUGCCUAAUACAUGCAAGUCGAGCGAACGGACGAGAAGCUUGCUUCUCUGAUGUUAGCGGCGGACGGGUGAGUAACACGUGGAUAACCUACCUAUAAGACUGGGAUAACUUCGGGAAACCGUAGCUAAUACCGGAUAAUAUUUUGAACCGCAUGGUUCAAAAGUGAAAGACGGUCUUGCUGUCACUUAUAGAUGGAUCCGCGCUGCAUUAGCUAGUUGGCAAGGUAACGGCUUACCAAGGCAACGAUGCAUAGCCGACCUGAGAGGGUGAUCGGCCACACUGGAACUGAGACACGGUCCAGACUCCUACGGGAGGCAGCAGUAGGGAAUCUUCCGCAAUGGGCGGAAGCCUGACGGAGCAACGCCGCGUGAGUGAUGAAGGUCUUCGGAUCGUAAAACUCUGUUAUUAGGGAAGAACAUAUGUGUAAGUAACUGUGCACAUCUUGACGGUACCUAAUCAGAAAGCCACGGCUAACUACGUG